CCUUGGAAUGGGAACACGCUUACAGUAAUGAACCCGGAGCAAGCUGAGGAGCCUGAAUCCAGCGGAAGUUUUCACGGACGGCUCAACGCAUGACAGAGUCACAUGUUGCGGAAGGAGCCGGCGUCCCGGGCACAUCCCCAGGGUGGGCACCGCCAGGAGAUGGAUUGCCCAAGACCCUGGCCGCCUCCAGACAGUGUUAACCUCCUUCCUUGAGGACCUUUCCCUCAUCUUCCAGGUCAUGCAAGACCUGGGACCCCCAGGACCUCGGACGUCUGAGUAGGAAAAAAGGUCUAAAACCCAUGUGCUACAUGCCACAUGCCAGAGCGUGCAUCCUUCCCUAGGCCCUAAGUUCUUGGAUUGCCAUGUUCUCCUUAGAUCCUAACUUUUUCUGCCUUCACUGCUUACUCAUUGGGUGCUCGGGGCCCACUUGUGUUUCAUGGUUGGUGGGAGACAUAAUUAAAUGUUUGCAUAAAAUAAAUCAAAUGUAACUGA